UACGGAGGGUGCGAGCGUUAAUCGGAAUUACUGGGCGUAAAGGGUGCGUAGGUGGUUUAUUAAGUUAGCUGUGAAAUUCCUGGGCUCAACCUGGGACGGUCAGCUAAGACUGGUAGGCUCGAGUAUGGGAGAGGGUAGUGGAAUUUCCGGUGUAGCGGUGAAAUGCGUAGAGAUCGGAAGGAACACCAGUGGCGAAGGCGGCUACCUGGCCUAAUACUGACACUGAGGCACGAAAGCGUGGGGAGCAAACAGG
rnacentral:rRNA from 1 species